rnacentral:rRNA from 1 species
UACGAAGGGGGCUAGCGUUGCUCGGAAUCACUGGGCGUACAGCGCACGUAGGCGGCUUGUUAAGUCAGGGGUGAAAUCCUGGAGCUCAACUCCAGAACUGCCUUUGAUACUGGCGAGCUUGAGUUCGGGAGAGGUGAGUGGAACUGCGAGUGUAGAGGUGAAAUUCGUAGAUAUUCGCAAGAACACCAGUGGCGAAGGCGGCUCACUGGCCCGAUACUGACGCUGAGGCACGAAAGCGUGGGGAGCAAACAGG